rnacentral:rRNA from 1 species
AUUGAACGCUGGCGGCAGGCCUAACACAUGCAAGUCGAACGAGUGGCGGACGGGUGAGUAAUGUCUGGGAAACUGCCUGAUGGAGGGGGAUAACUACUGGAAACGGUAGCUAAUACCGCAUCCCUUCCGAUGUGCCCAGAUGGGAUUAGCUAGUUGGUGGGGUAACGGCUAACCAAGGCGACGAUCCCUAGCUGGGCGGAGAGGAUGACCAGGCCCACGGGAACGGAGACACGGUCCAGACUCCUACGGGAGGCGGAGGGGGGGAAUGUUGCACUAUGGGCGCGGGGCGGAUGCAGCCAUGCCGAGUGGAUGAAGAAGGCCUUCGGGUUGUAAAUUACUUUCAGCGGGGAGGCGUUACCCGCAGAAGAAGCACCGGCUAACUCCGUGCCAGCCGCCGCGGUAAUUC